GUGAAUAGGGAUGGGAGUGUUGUUUCAUCAUCUUUUUUGGCCACACCGGUGACAUGCAGCAGCUCCCUGCCUAGGGAUCAAACCUGUGCCACAGCAGUGGCAAUAUCGGCUGCUUUUGCUUGUUUUUCGGCCGCAUUCGCUGCAUGCGGCAGUUCUUGGAUCAGGCAACUUGCCAUGCCACCAGGGAACUCCAGGAUGGGGGUUCAGAGCUGCUGCCUCCUCAGCUGCACAAGCCCUUCAUGUGCCCUCAGCCUGAGUCCCUGGAAGCCGGCUCUGACUGAACCCCGUUACCUAGCUCCCGCGUGGGCCAGGCCUCCUUUGCCAGAAAAUGCAUGCUCCGCAGUUAUUUGGUAAAGGGCAGCAUGUUGGCUCACCUGAAAUCUUCCCUCUUCCAGCGGGCAGGGGCCCUGUGGGUCUCCCCUCCCUCCCCAGCAGGUGCCAGGCAGUCAGGGUCAGUCUCCAGGCUCCGCGGGACAGGACACCUCAACCGGCUUCCGUUUCCACUUCCUGCCCGUCUCCCUCUCCCUGACUCCCCCGGGGCUUGAACACUGGGCUCAGCACACGUGGUGCCCCUGGUGCCUGGAGAUGCGCGCGUGCUGCUUCCUCCCCGUUGCAGGCCAGGAGCCCUUGGAGCACAAGAGCUCCCGUCUUCCUCCGCCGCCGCUGUUGACGGCUGACACGGCCGGUCUCCAGGCCACGUUGGAGACGGCGCUCUCCAGGAGUGUCACUGUCCCCGCGGGCGCACUGGGCCUGCAGGUCCUCAGAUGCGUAGACCCGCCUUGGGGGUUUCAGACGAGGCAGGGGCCGUGGAGUCCAGUCUGGCGCGUCGUGAGCAGCCUCUUCUCUGCCCAUGCGUGGGGCCCACGCACCUCACACCUCUCAGGCUGUUGAGGGAGGGACUGAACGUUGCAGGAACCGACGGCACGUCAGUCGUGCUUUCUCCACGGCACCGGGCUGAGUCUGCUUUUGCUCUUGCUCACUGUCUCUACUCCAAACUUUGCUCACUCAGUGACACAUUUUUCUGGGGUUCUUCUGAAGGGCCGUCGCCCAUCUGGGAACCAGAGGGCCAGCAGCACAUGGACAAAAUGCUCGCCUUCUGGGUGCUUCCUUCUGGUGCUUCCUUCUGACAGCCCAUAAACAAAUGUGUUUCUAACCCAGCGGCAGAUGGCGAUGAGACGGAAGCGUACCUGGAUAGAGGAUGACGGCUGUGAUACCUCAGCUGGGGUGGGAGUUCUGUGGAUUAAGGAGCCAGCGUGGUCACUGCUGUGGCGUGGGUUUGAUCCCUGGACGGGGAACGUCCACACGCCUCGGGUGCUGGCAGGGACGGGGGUGGGGUGAAAGGCAUCUUCCAAGAAGCACGCUCUGAAGGCACACAGGAGCCCCCGGCGUCCCAUGCCCAGGGCGGGAGACUGUACUCCAGGGGCCCUGGCUUACUAAGAGGUGGAGAAUAGGGGUCCCGCAGGGAUUUGUCUUCCCACCUGAGGACAAGACUCCCAGGCUGCUGCCAGAGCGGCCCCGCAGGGGCAGCAGGACAGAAGCUCUGCAGGGAGAUGCCGCACCCAGCGUCUGGUCCAGGAAGGUCAUCUCCGGGCUGGGGCACAUCGUGGCUGGUCCAGCUCUGAUGGGCCACAUGGCUUAAGCUCUCUGUGCCCGUCUCCCUGUCUGUAAGGGAAGGAUAACAGGACCCACUUGAACGCAGUGAGGAUUGAGCCGGUUAACACAAUGCUCAGAAGCGUGUCUGGCACUCGGAACAUGGCUACUGUAACCAGGUGGUAAGGGGAGGUGUCGGAGACUGAGGCUAGCAGGUCACGCCUGGUUACCUUUGGUAGAUGAGAGCUGGCAAAGCAGAGAUCGCCUCCAGGCUUUAGUCUUCCACCCGCUGCCUCUGCAGCAGUUCCUAUUGUUUGCUGUGUUUGAGAACUGAUGCCGGAAAGGAUGUGUAUGUAACUGAAAAAAAAUUUUUUUCACGAAAUAAAAAUCACUCACCAUAUACAACACAUAUUGACAUUUUAAGUUUCUUCUAUUUAAGGGAAAAACCAGGCUUAAUCACUAAAUUGACUGCAUGGCCAGCCAAUGAAAGUAAGGUAGCCUGAAAUUUCAAAAACACUAUUCGUUUACUUUUUAUUUUUAGCUUUUUAGGGCCGCACCAGCGACAUAUGGAAAUUCCCAGGCUAGGGGUCUAAUCGGAGCUACAGCCGCCGGCCUACACCACAGCCACAGCAACGCAGGGAUCCGAGCCACGUCUGCGACCUACACCACAGCUCAUGGCAACGCCGGAUCCUUAACCCCCUGAGCGAGGCUAGAGAUCGAACCCGCAUCUUUGUGAAUACUAGUCAGAUUCAUUUCCGCUGAGCCACGACGGGAACUCCUCAAAAACACUGUGCUAGUGCCAGCAAAUAAGAGCGACCAGGUCGUGGGCAGAGAGUGGCGUGUGGGGAGGCAAGUGGACCUAGUGUUUUGGAGCUUGGGAUGAGGAUUAGAAUCCGGCUUGUCUGGGUUCAUGUUCUGGCACUGCCCGCUUUGCUCUUGGGUAGCCUUGGGCAAAUUGCGUUUCUACUCUCUGUCUCCAUUUUUCACCUCAAAAUCAGGGUUCAUGAUGGCACUUCCGUCCUAGGGUUCUUGUGAGGAUUCAGUGAAGUAAAAAUAAGUGGAGCCCAGAAAUGAUCACUGUUGGCUGUAACUGUGGAGGCCAGACUCAGCCUGCUUACCCAGAUCCCCUCCGUGCAGAGAACGCGGCAGGGGUCGGGGGACGGCAGCUGGCAGAGGCAGGACCAGAGCUGAGCCCACACACCCUGUCUCCUGCCCUAGGCACACCCUCCCCCUCUCUGGUCCCUGGAAGAGUUCAAGGUUAAUGGUGCAGUUCGACCAGUUAUCUGGUCCACUGUAUAGACAGAACUAUGUGGAAGAUGACAUUUCUUCUGCCCUCAGAUGGAAGAUGUAGAGGCGAGGCGGUAGCCCACCUGCAGUCGUGAGCCCCCAUCGAUAAAGUGGGUGCUGCGGGUUGAAGCAGGGGAGGGAUGCCUGAGGCUCCAGGGAUCAGUCUGCUGGUUAGGUGUUGAGAUCUGGUCUCUCAGGUUCAGCCCCAGAGCUGCUGGACACUGAGCCUUCCUUCCCUCCGCAGCAGAGGGAAGUCUGCGUGUGAAUGGAGAGCAUUUAAAGAAGGCUGAUUCUUGAUGAUGGCCUUUGUCCAGAAGGCCACAAACAGGAAGUGCUGGAGAGGGUGUGGAGCAAAAGGAACCCUGGUACACUGUUGGUGGGAUUGUAAACUGGUGCAACCACGGUGGAAAGCAGUAUGGAGAUUCCUCAGAAAACUAAACAUAGAACUACCAUUUGAUCCAGCAAUCCCGCUCCUGGGCAUCUAUCCAGAGAAAACCACAACUCGCAAAGACACAUGUACUCCCAGUGUUCAUUGCAGCACUAUUUGCAACAGCUAAGACAUGGAAACAACCUAAAUGUCCAUCGACAGAGGAGUGGAUCCAGAAGAUGGGNUACACAAUGGAAUAUGACUCAGCUAUUAAAAGGAACGAAAUACUGGCACUUCUGGCAACAUGGGUGGACCUAGAAAUUAUCAUGCUAAGUGAAGUCAGCCAUACAGUGAGAGACACCAACAUCAAAUGCUUUCACUGACAUGUGGAAUCUGAAAAAAGGACAGACUGAACUUUGCAGAACAGAUGCUGACUCACAGACACUGAAAAACUUAUGGUCUCCGGAGGAGACAGUUUGGGGGGUGGGGGGAUGUC
rnacentral:lncRNA from 1 species